GGAUGCCUUGGCAUGCUUAGCCGAUGAAGGACGUGUGAGGCUGCGUUAUGCCUCGGGGAGUUGCCAACAAAGCGUUGAUCCGAGGAUGUCCGAAUGGGGAAACCUGGCACUUGUUAUGGAGUGUUACCUGCAGAUGAAUGUAUAGUCUGUGUGGGGGUUACGCGGGGAAGUGAAACAUCUCAGUACCCGUAGGAGAAGAUAUUCCGUGAGUAGUGGCGAGCGAAAGCGGAUGAUGGUUAAACCGUGUGCGUGUGAUACUCGGCAGGGGUUGCGUGUGCGGGGUUGUGGGGCUGUCCUGUUU
rnacentral:rRNA from 1 species